UACGUAGGGUGCGAGCGUUAAUCGGAAUUACUGGGCGUAAAGCGUGCGCAGGCGGUUUUGUAAGCCAGAUGUGAAAUCCCCGGGCUUAACCUGGGAAUGGCAUUUGGGACUGCAAGGCUGGAGUGUGGCAGAGGAGACUGGAAUUCCUGGUGUAGCAGUGAAAUGCGUAGAUAUCAGGAGGAAUACCGAUGGCGAAGGCAGGUCUCUGGGCUAACACUGACGCUCAUGCACGAAAGCGUGGGGAGCAAACAGG
rnacentral:rRNA from 1 species